AUUGAACGCUGGCGGCAGGCCUAACACAUGCAAGUCGAGCGAGCGGCGGACGGGUGAGUAAUGUCUGGGAAAACGCCUGAAGGAGGGGGAUAACUACUGGAAACCGUAGCUAAUACCGCAUACCAUCAGAUGUGCCCAGAGGGGGUUAGCUAGUAGGUGGGGUAACGGCUCACCUAGGCGACGAUCCCUCGCUGGUCUGCGAGGAUGACCAGCCACACUGGGACUGAGACACGGCCCAGACUCCUACGGGAGGCAGCAGUAGGGAAUAUUGGACAAUGGGCGCAAGUCUGAUGCAGCCAUGCCGCGUGUGUGAAGAAGGCCUUCGGGUUGUAAAGCACUUUCAGCGGGGAAGCGUUACCCGCAGAGGAAGCACCGGCUAACGCCGUGCCAGCCGCCGCGGUAAUUC
rnacentral:rRNA from 1 species